GUCGAGAAUCUUUCACAAUGGGGGCAACCCUGAUGGAGCGACGCCGCGUGGAGGAUAAGGUCUUCGGAUUGUAAACUCCUGUCAUGCGUGAACAAGGUUGCUUGGUUAAUACCUGGGCAAAUUGAUGGUAACGCAAGAGGAAGAGACGGCUAACUCUGUGCCAGCAGCCGCGGUAAUACAGAGGUCUCAAGCGUUGUUCGGAAUCACUGGGCGUAAAGGGUGCGUAGGUGGCGUGGUAAGUCAGAGGUGAAAGCCCGGGGCUCAACCUCGGAACUGCAUCCGAUACUGCCAUGCUAGAGUACUGGAGAGGUGACUAGAAUUCUCGGUGUAGCAGUGAAAUGCGUAGAUAUUGAGAGGAAUACCAAAGGCGUAGGCAGGUCACUGGACAGUUACUGACACUGAGGCACGAAGGCCAGGGGAGCGAACGGGAUUAGAAACCCCUGUAGUCC
rnacentral:rRNA from 1 species